UAUUUAUUAAGUAAAAAUUAGAAUUUAGGUGAAGAUACCUAAGUAACUUUGAAAGACAAGAAGACCCUAUAGAGUUUUAAAUUUAUAAAAUAAUUAUAUAAAUUUUUAGUUGGGGCGACUAAAGAUUAUUAUAAACAUCUUUUACUAGUGAGAUAUUGAUUCUUAAUAAUUGAUCCUAUAUUAUAGAUAAAUAGAAUAAACUACCUUAGGGAUAACAGGCUUAUCUUUCUAAAGAGUUCAAAUUGACAGGAAGGUUUGGCACCUCGAUGUUGGCUUAGAGUAACCAGUUAAUGCAGCAGUUAAUUAUGGUCAGUUUGUUCAACUGUUAAAUCUCU
rnacentral:rRNA from 1 species